UGGGACCCUAGUGGCGGACGGGUGAGUAACGCGUGGGUAACCUGCCCCAUACCGGGGGAUAACACUUAGAAAUAGGUGCUAAUACCGCAUAAGCGCACGGUACUGCAUGGUACAGUGUGAAAAACUCCGGUGGUAUGGGAUGGACCCGCGUCUGAUUAGCUUGUUGGCGGGGUAACGGCCCACCAAGGCGACGAUCAGUAGCCGGCCUGAGAGGGUGGACCGGCCACAUUGGGACUGAGACACGGCCCAAACUCCUACGGGAGGCAGCAG
rnacentral:rRNA from 1 species